AACGAACGCUGGCGGCAGGCCUAACACAUGCAAGUCGAGCGCCCCGCAAGGGGAGCGGCGGACGGGUGAGUAACGCGUGGGAACGUACCCUUUGCUACGGAAUAGCCUCGGGAAACUGGGAGUAAUACCGUAUGUGCCCUUCGGGGGAAAGAUUUAUCGGCAAAGGAUCGGCCCGCGUUGGAUUAGGUAGUUGGUGGGGUAAUGGCCUACCAAGCCGACGAUCCAUAGCUGGUUUGAGAGGAUGAUCAGCCACACUGGGACUGAGACACGGCCCAGACUCCUACGGGAGGCAGCAGUGGGGAAUCUUAGACAAUGGGCGCAAGCCUGAUCUAGCCACGCCGCGUGAGCGAUGAAGGCCUUAGGGUUGUAAAGCUCUUUCAGUGGGGAAGAUAAUGACUGUACCCACAGAAGAAGCCCCGGCUAACUCCGUGCCAGCAGCCGCGGUAAAGUCUGUACU
rnacentral:rRNA from 1 species